GGAUGGGUACUGAGGGCGAGGCAGUUGGAUUCAGGAGGUCUCAUUUGUUCAGUCUCUGAACCCCUCUGUCUCUUCUUGGAGCCUGUUC
rnacentral:pre_miRNA from 1 species